rnacentral:rRNA from 1 species
AGUGAACGCUGGCGGUAGGCCUAACACAUGCAAGUCGAACGGCAGCACAGUAAGAGCUUGCUCUUACGGGUGGCGAGUGGCGGACGGGUGAGGAAUACAUCGGAAUCUACUUUUUCGUGGGGGAUAACGUAGGGAAACUUACGCUAAUACCGCAUACGACCUACGGGUGAAAGCAGGGGAUCUUCGGACCUUGCGCGAUUGAAUGAGCCGAUGUCGGAUUAGCUAGUUGGCGGGGUAAAGGCCCACCAAGGCGACGAUCCGUAGCUGGUCUGAGAGGAUGAUCAGCCACACUGGAACUGAGACACGGUCCAGACUCCUACGGGAGGCAGCAGUGGGGAAUAUUGGACAAUGGGCGCAAGCCUGAUCCAGCCAUACCGCGUGGGUGAAGAAGGCCUUCGGGUAGUAAAGCCCUUUUGCUGGGAAAGAAAAGCAGCAGGUUAAUACCCCGCUGUUCUGACGGUACCCAAAGAAUAAGCACCGGCUAACUUCGUG